rnacentral:rRNA from 1 species
CGAGCACGCGCGUGUGGCAUAUCAAUAAGCGGAGGAAAAGAAACUAACAAGGAUUCCCUUAGUAACGGCGAGUGAAGCGGGAAGAGCUCAAAUUUGAAAUCUUCAAGGUUCUACCUUGACGAAUUGUAGUUUAUAGAAGUGUUUUCUGUUAGUGGAGUGGCGAAAGUUCUUUGGAAUAGGACAUCAUAGAGGGUGAGAAUCCCGUAUUUGGUCAUUCCUCCUAGCGUUGUGAUACACUCUUCAACGAGUCGGAUUGUUUGGGAAUGCAGUCCAAAAUGGGUGGUAAAUUUCAUCUAAAGCUAAAUAUUGGCGAGAGACCGAUAGCGAACAAGUACCGUGAGGGAAAGAUGAAAAGAACUUUGAAAAGAGAGUUAAACAGUACGUGAAAUUGUCAAAAGGGAAGCGUUUGACACCAGUGUUGUUUUUCCGAAAAUCAAUUACGAAUGUUUUAUUUUUGAGGAGUUAUGACUUCAUCGGCUUGCUCUCUUCUUUACGAAACUUUCUUAAUGCACUUUUCGGUUAGCAAGUCAACAUCAAUUUCUUUUGUUGUAAAAGGGUAUGAGGAAGGUGGCUUUCUUCUCGGAGAAAGUGUUUAUAGCCUUGUGCCUCUGCAAUCGGAGAGAUUGAGGUCUGCAGCGUAGAUCCUUCGGGGUUAGAUACGUCUGUGCUAAGUUAUAGCUUUUCAUAGACAACUUGUUGACUAUGUUUAGUCUUGUAGCUUACUCGCUGACGCUAUUUUACCUACGCUUAGGAUGUUGAACUCUAUCACACACAG